GGUGUCACUCCGAGAUAUUUUUUUUCCUGACAUUUUUGGUUGCCUUCAUACUUGAUUUGUACGAGUGCUCCAUUUUAUGAAUAAUAAUUAAAAAAAAUAUAGUACAGUGAACAUACAAAUCCAGAAUAGAAAGAUCCUACAAGAAACUAAGUAUGCAGAACAGUAGAAAAGAAUCCAACUUUCUGUGUUUGCCUAGCCUCCUCUGCUUUCCUAGAUAGAACUG
rnacentral:lncRNA from 1 species